rnacentral:lncRNA from 1 species
GACUCCAUGAUCCCCAUCCAUCCCCAUCGUUCCUGUCCAUCCCCAUCAUCCCCAUGGACCCCAUGGUUCCCAUCUUCCCCAUCCAUCUCCAUCGUCCCCAUCACCCUCAUCUUCCCCGUCCAUCUCCAUCGUCCCCAUCACCCUCAUCUUCCUCUUCCAUCCCCAUUGUCCCCAUCCAUCCUCAUCAUCCCCAUGGACUCCAUGGUCCCCAUCCAUCCCCAUCAUCCCCAUGGACCCCAUGGUUCUCAUCUUCCCUGUCCAUCUCCAUCAUCCCCAUCACACUCAUCUUCCCCUUCCAUCCCCAUCGUUCCCAUCCAUCUUCAUCACCCUCAUCGUCCCCAUCCAUCACCCCCAUCUUCCCCCUCCAUCCUCAUUGCCCCCAUCAUCCCCAUGGACCCCAUGGUUCCCAUCUUCCCCGUCCAUCUCCAUUGUCCCCAUCACCCUCAUCUUCCUCUUCCAUCCCCAUUGUCCCCAUCCAUCCUCAUCAUCCCCAUGGACCCCAUGGUCCCCAUCAUCCCCAUCCAUCCCCAUGGCCUCCAUCAUCCUCAUCAUCCCCAUGGACUCCAUGGUCCCCAUCCAUCUCCAUCAUCCUCAUCGUCCCCAUCAUCCCCAUGGACCCCAUGGUUCCCAUCUUCCCUGUCCAUCUCCAUCGUCCCCAUCACCCUCAUCUUCCCCUUCCAUCCCCAUCGUCCCCAUCAUCCCCAUGGCCUCCAUCAUCCUCAUAAUCCCCACGGACCCCAUGGUCCCCAUCAUCCCCAUCCAUCCCCAUCAUCCCCAUCAUCCCUAUGGUCUCCAUCAUCCUCAUCAUCACCAUGGACUCCAUGGUCCCCAUCCAUCCCCAUCAUCCUCAUCGUCCCCAUCAUCCCCAUGGACCCCAUGGUUCCCAUCUUCCCCGUCCAUCCCCAUCAUCCCCGUUAUCCUCAUCAUCCCCAUGGCCUCCAUCAUCCUCAUCAUCCCCAUGGACCCCAUGGUCCCCAUCAUCCUCGUCCACCCCCAUUGUCCCCAUCCUGCUGUCCCCCAGCUCCGGAAGGGCUCCAAGCCUCCUGCUGCCUUCGUCACCCUGGUCGUACAUGACAACUCCGUCAAGACCAAGGUAAGACACGAUGGGGGGGCUUGGGGGGGGGGGUGCAGGAGGCCAAGAGGGGGUGUCCCUCACCCACUCUCCCACCCCCAGACCUGCGCCCCGACCACAGAGCCCGUGUGGGACGAAGGCUUCUCCUUCCUCAUCAAGCGGCCGCACGUGGAGUCGCUGGAGCUGCAGGU